rnacentral:rRNA from 1 species
AACGAACGCUGGCGGCAGGCUUAACACAUGCAAGUCGAACGGGCUCCUUCGGGGGUCAGUGGCAGACGGGUGAGUAACGCGUGGGAACGUGCCCUUCAGUUCGGAAUAACCCAGGGAAACUUGGGCUAAUGCCGGAUACGCCCUUUUUGGGGAAAGAUUGUAUUGCUGAAGGAUCGGCCCGCGUCUGAUUAGCUGGUUGGUGGGGUAACGGCCCACCAAGGCGACGAUCAGUAGCUGGUCUGAGAGGAUGAUCAGCCACAUUGGGACUGAGACACGGCCCAAACUCCUACGGGAGGCAGCAGUGGGGAAUAUUGGACAAUGGGCGCAAGCCUGAUCCAGCCAUGCCGCGUGAGUGAUGACGGCCUUAGGGUUGUAAAGCUCUUUCGUCCGGGACGAUAAUGACGGUACCGGAAGAAGAAGCCCCGGCUAACUUCGUGCCAGCCGCCGCAGUAAGAC